GAAGAAAAGGGAAAUAGUUAAGAUGAGAUAAAGGUUUGACAAGCGCCUAAAUUGAACCUACAAUAGAGGUCACGCUUCAGGUUAUCACACCCAAAAAGCAAAAACUGAAAAUUUGGUUUAUUGGUCCUUUUCAAAAAAAAACUCCUGAUAUGUGCACAACGAACAACCUCCCAUUCAACCAUUCUUCUAACCAGAUAUUUAUACUCUUCUGCAUCCAGAAACGAUACAGGUAGGGGAACAGCAUCUAAUUCCAGCGUUCCUCUAAUGUUGGCAGGUCAGAACUUUGACAUUCAAUUAAAGCUAAUUAAAAGCGUUUUCUACUGAAAUCGAAUGAUAAACAGCUCAAUAAGAAGUGAGCAAGCAAGUUUCUACAAAAAAGUUUUGCAAAAUUAGUUAUUCGAAUAGUGAAAAUCAGCAAAUUGGAUGGAGUUAGGAGCGAGAGCUUAACCUGCCAAACAUACGAGAAUUUCCCCUACAAACUUAAAAAGUGUCAAACGAAAAUGUGACCAACCACCGGGGGUUGAGUGUAUUUUUUAAACAAAUCUAAUGUGCUUUCUUCAUAGUUAAGUUGGACGCUUAGAAUUCAAGACCACUUUUAUUCACCAAAAAGUGUUUUGAUAUUGCUUAAAUUGUAUUGGUUGUUUAGAAAUCAUACUAUGAUUAUUUUUUUUGGCCGAUGGUUAACCCCACUAGGUACAUCUAAAUUGAAUGUCAGUUUCAUGAUUCAACAAUUGUUAGAAGGUUUGCAGAGUUUAAUUCAAAUACAAUUAAGUUCUUUUUAUUAUGCUUUACAUGCUUUGUGAAAAGAAUGAGUUGGUUGCUUGUUUUCAUUAUUUUGGUUAUAAGAAAUGUAUUUAUUAUUUGCUAAAAUGUUUUAUUAACAAAUAUAACUUGAUUGUUAUAACAUGUUGUUAAUAUUUUUUCAAGUUUAUGUCCUUAGUUUCUAGCUGAUGUC